rnacentral:lncRNA from 1 species
CCAACACCCGAAGCCUCUUGUCACUGUGGGAGACCUUGAAGCUUAAAUGAAUCAUCUCCUUAAUCUGCCGUUCAAGCAGCUGAGUUCGGCCGGGGACUUCUGAAGGUAUCAGAUUUCCCAGCAAGGAGCCAACAUCCUCUAUAAAUUUGGGGUCACAUUCUAAACAGCCUUUGACUCCAUGGAAGGCUGAGAGGGGCAGGAGCAGGAAUAACCACAGGUCACCCAUUUCUUUCUUCACCCCCGCUCCCCGACAGCAGGUUGUCCUGGCAACUAGUUCACUUAGUUCCUUUUCCUUCAAAAAUCCGGGAAUGAGAGCCUGGUUCUGGAUAGUCUGACUCCACUUUUCCCGCUGUUUCCAUCCCACUAUCGGGCAAUCUUUAGUUGUUUAGUUUAAUGAUCUUUAGUUGUUUACUGACUAUUAUCCUUCAUUCUAGGAGAGGGAACUGCCAGCUGGGGAGCGGAUACCUGAGUUCUGAGUGUAGAACACCAAGAGAUAGAGAAGCCUUGAGCUCACACAAGCAGAGUUCUGUGCAGGGAGAUGUCUCAGAAAAAGUGUUUCUUUAGCCCUCUCCCUGACUUGCAUCCUCAUGAGACUCUUAAACCCCCUCCUGACCUUCAGAGAUGUUUAUCAUCAGAGAUGGGUUAUGGAAGUGAUCCUAUAGAACCUGAGAGAUUGCUUAACUCAAACUCUGCUUCUACAUUAGAGUGUCUUCUGAAAAAUGACCUCAACAAAAUUUGCUAUCUACCUAUUUACUAACAUAAAUGAGGAAACCAAAAAGGUCAACGGUGAGGCAGGAAGGUUUCAGUUCAGUGGAGAAAAGAAAAUCUUGAUGAAAUGUCAUUAACUUCCAUAUUUGGAAUAAGCUAUAAAAGGUGUGGAAUCUCCAUUCUUUCAAUCCGCA